rnacentral:rRNA from 1 species
GAUGAACGCUGACAGAAUGCUUUACACAUGCAAGUCAACUUGAAUUUGGGUUUUUUAACUAAGAUUUGGGUGGCGGACGGGUGAGUAACGCGUAAAGAACUUGCCUCACAGCUAGGGACAACAUUUGGAAACGAAUGCUAAUACCUGAUAUUAUGAUUAUAAGGCAUCUUAGAAUUAUGAAAGCUAUAUGCGCUGUGAGAGAGCUUUGCGUCCCAUUAGCUAGUUGGAGAGGUAACGGCUCACCAAGGCGAUGAUGGGUAGCCGGCCUGAGAGGGUGAACGGCCACAAGGGGACUGAGACACGGCCCUUACUCCUACGGGAGGCAGCAGUGGGGAAUAUUGGACAAUGGACCAAGAGUCUGAUCCAGCAAUUCUGUGUGCACGAUGACGUUUUUCGGAAUGUAAAGUGCUUUCAGUUGGGAAGAAAAAAAUGACGGUACCAACAGAAGAAGUGACGG